GGCACUAGCCCACCGUCUUCUUGGUCUGCUGGCUUUCUGAAUAAAGUUGCUGUGCCUUGCCCCAACACCUCAUCUCUCGAUUUAUUGGCCUGUCGGGCUACGUGCAGUACGAACUUGGACUUGGUAACGAAUUUUGCAAAGCCAGCCCAGAGGCUUGGGGCUCACGGCCAGCUGGCCCCUGUUGGGGAAUUUUUGGGUAAGGCCCUAGCAGCUGCCAGGACCACUUGUUCUGAGGAUCUUCCCUUCAGAUUUCCCCAAAGCAGCACUGGGUGCCCCAGCGCUUGGCAGUCGAAGCAAGAAACUGACAUCUGGGAGUUAAGCAGCUCCCUAUAGUAGGGUCUGCCUAUUCAACUGAAGUAGCCUUAUAUCCUUUCUGACCUGGAGACCAAGUCCUCCUUAAAAACUUGGAGAGAACAAGGAACUGAACAUCAGCUGAUUGCAAUGUGGACAGGACCAUGCACUCAUCUUGUCAAGCCAGCUGGGGUGAAGCCAUGGAUUCAUCACAGUUGGAUUAAAGCAGCACCACCAUCAUCAGAAAAUGACCCAACUCCUGAAAGGCCUGGGGAACAAUGGGUUUGUGAACCCUUAGAAGACACAAGAUUGCUCUUAAAAAUAAUAAGUAGAGGGGGAAAAUUAUAACUACUUUAAAAAUUUUUUCUGUUUCAACUUCUUGCUUCUAGAAUAUAAAAUACAAUUAUUUUUCUAUAUCAACCUUGUAUCCUGUGAACUUGCUAAAUUUAUGUAUUAGUACUAUAAUUUCUAUUCUAUUCUUUAUUAUUGUUUUGUUUCUCCACUAAAGUUUUUGUCUUUUUAUUUGUUAUAAGCAUACUCUUAGGCUCUUGAGUGUGGUUACAAUAGCUAUUUUUAAAACUUCUUAUUUCUAACAUAUGGGUCACUUCAGGGUUGGUUUCAGUUAACUUACUGCCUUUUCUCUUGAGAAUGGGUCACACUUUCCUAUUUGUUUGUAUUUUGAGUAAUUUCAGGUGGUAUCCUGGACACACUGCAGAAAAUCUGGAGUCUUAUGUUUCUCUGAAGUGUAUUAUUUUUUCCUAAGUAACUUAUUACCAUGGUUGAACUCAAACUGUAAUCUCUGCAAAUUUUGUCUCUCUUGUGAAACUUGUAGCUCAAACUUUUAGUUCACUUUUUUUAGGUUUAGCUGGGCUUCCUGGAGUGUAUCUCAUGCAGAUGUGAUACAGGGUCAGCUGGGUAUCUGAGCAGAGUUUAUAUAAAAUAUUUGGAGACACCCCCUCCCCCGCCGGAUCUCUUUUCCAGAAUUUAUGUUUCCCUUUCCUGUUGCUGUGGUGCUUUAAGCUAGGAAGACAGUGGUUUUUCCCCUGGUGUUUUAGCUGCCCCUUGGGUCAUGAACUAGAAUCCACUCCUAGGCUGAAAGUGGUCCAAAGGAGAAAUUCACCACUGCUUUCCUUUUUUUCUGAGUGUCGAUUCCCCUGCAGGUUCUGCCUGCUUUUGUUCACUUUCCAGUGCCUUUAGGUAAUGGUUAUCUGUUUUAUUCAGAGUUCAUAGUUGUAAUCUGUGGGAGGGUUGGCAUUUUAAUCCACGUGGGACGCGAAGUUUUCAUUAUAACAUACUGCCCCCUAGUGGCUGAGGGAGAGAACUGGUUUAGGAAGGAGUAGGACACGUUUGUAGCUCACUUGGAGAGCCGCCGUGUUUGAAAAUCUUUUAAUCAAAAUAAUACACACAGCAACAAAUUAUUUGUACAGAAAAACUUAUAAUAAAAAUUUGCCUAGCCGUUGGUCA